UUGGACCACUGGUCAUGGAGGAAGAAAGAGGUGCUGGGCCUAGGAAUGCUAACGAGCCACCUGGCAGAAUGUGUAAUGGAAGACAGGCUGACCUCAAACCUCAGCGCCUCCCAGGCCUCCAUCUCCCAAACGCUGAUAUUCCAGAACGCCUGGCACUGUUCUGGUUUCUGUUGACAGUCUCAGUGCCACAGGAUUGAACCAAGUGGGACAAGUCAGUUCCUGGCAGCAUGCCCUAGAACUUCAAAGAAGAAGAUGGACAUCAAAGAAAACCUCCAUGUGGAGUUUGCAUCAAAUGUAGCAAAGGUAGACAGCAAGCAAAAAACUGUCCUUGCCUCCACUGCUGACAGCACGCUACCCACGCUGUGGACAAGCAGGACAUAAAGGAAGUUGACUGACAAACUCUGUCAAGAUAAGGGCUCAGAGGUUAAGAGCACUGGCUGUUUUUCCAGAGGUCCUGAGUUCAAUUCCUAGCAACUACAUG